UGGCAAGCGCCCGGCCGGGCGGAGGGAGCGGGGAGCUCCUCCCUGGCCUCGGGGAAAACUCUCCUGGUUUUCAUCAUCCCAGCAGGGACGGCUCCGCCGCCGCCGCCACCGAAACGCGGCUGCCUUGUGGGCCGAGCGCGGCCCCACGGCCCGGCCCCACCGAGCUCCGGGAGGGGCGGCCCGGGGGGACACCGGGGUGGGGACCUGGGGAUGGGGACAGCAGGAUGGGGACCUGGGGAUGGGGACAGCAGGAUGGGCACACCGGGAAUGGGGACAGCAGGAUGGGGACCUGGGGAUGGGGACACCGUGAUGGGGAUCCCGCCAUGGGGAGGGGGAUCCUGCCGUGGGGAUCCCGGGAUGGGAAGGGGCAGGACAAGCCGCUGCUGGGGUUUCUGGCUGUGCAGAAAUGGGGGUGAACAGGACCAGCCGCUGCUGGGGUUUCUGGCUGUGCAGAAAUGGGGGUGAACACAUGCCUGGGGCUCUGUAGGGCACAGCUGGGGGGAUUUGGGUGCACCCCAGUCUCGGGGUCCCACUGUGCUUCCUGUCCUCUGCCUGCCCGGGAGGAUCCAGGGCUGUUCCUGUGGCUGCUCCAGCUUGGGGACCCCCGAGUGCUGUUGGGGUUGGGGCGGUGGCCUUGGGCUCCCUGGCUGGCCCUGGGGGCCGGAUCGUGGCCACCAACGGCUCUCUGGGGCAGACUUGGCAUGUGCAGCUCCAGCCACCCAGUCCCCAUCCCAAUCCCAAUCCCAAUUCCCAUCCCAGUCCCAGUCCCCAUCCCUGCUGUGCCACCACAGGGAACAGGGAUGGUGUCUCCUGGUGCCCAGCUGCCCCUCAGCCACCCUGCACACGUGGCCUGUCCCCGUCCCUUCGCUCCAGGGGCUUCUCCCAGUGCUCCCAGUGCUCCCAGUGCUCCCAGUUCAGGAUGAUCCCGAUGAUCCCAGGCUCUCCCAUCCCGGCCAUUCCCCACUCCAGGAAGGGGCUCCACGGUGGGAGGAUGUGGGGACACGCAAGGACAGGGAUGGGGAUCUGGGAGGGCCACGACCACCUCAUCCCACCAGCACUGCACCCAAAACGCCACGGGGACCCUCCCGAGCCAUCCCAAAACUCAAAUCCAGGCUGGGAUCCUGCUGGGAUGAGGCUGGGAGCAGGAUGAGGCUGUGGGGCACUGGGAGCACUGGGGGGACUGGGGGGAUCAGGAUUUGGGGUCUGCGGGCUCCUGGAGCCCCCCCAAGCAGAGCUGGGACCACCCAAGGCAGGGGAUCACGGCACAUCCCAGGGGGGAUCUCCUCUCACCACCGAGUGUCUGAAAUCCCGAGCCGUGCCUUGAAAUUACUGCUAAUUACAGAGCUCAUUUGCAUAAAUUAUAAGGCAAGAGGCAAAUGCCUCCAAUCCCUCCGAGUGAUCAGGCAGCGGGGGGGAGGGGGGACCGA
rnacentral:lncRNA from 1 species